rnacentral:rRNA from 1 species
UCCGUAGGUGGAUAAUUAAGUCAGAGGUGAAAUCCUGCAGCUCAACUGUAGAAUUGCCUUUGAUACUGGUUAUCUUGAGUCAUUAUGAAGUGGUUAGAAUGUGUAGUGUAGCGGUGAAAUGCAUAGAUAUUACACAGAAUACCGAUUGCGAAGGCAGAUCACUAAUAAUGUACUGACACUGAGGGACGAAAGCGUGGGGAGCGAACAGGAGUAGAUACCCUGGUAGUCC